CCUACGGGAGGCAGCAGUCGAGAAUUUUUCACAAUGGUCGCAAGACUGAUGGAGCGACGCCGCGUGGAGGAUGAAGGUUUUCGGAUUGUAAACUCCUGUCACUACAGAACAAGGGUAUUUAGGUGAACAGCCUAGGUAUUUGAUGGUAUGUGGAGAGGAAGGGACGGCUAACUCUGUGCCAGCAGCCGCGGUAAU
rnacentral:rRNA from 1 species